UGGAGGCAGCAGUGGGGAAUAUUGGACAAUGGGCGCAAGCCUGAUCCAGCCAUGCCGCGUGAGUGAUGAAGGCCUUAGGGUUGUAAAGCUCUUUUGCCGGGGACGAUAAUGACGGUACCCGGAGAAUAAGUCCCGGCUAACUUCGUGCCAGCAGCCGCGGUAAUACGAAGGGGACUAGCGUUGUUCGGAAUCACUGGGCGUAAAGCGCACGUAGGCGGAUUUGUAAGUCAGGGGUGAAAUCCCGGGGCUCAACCUCGGAACUGCCUUUGAUACUGCGAGUCUUGAGUCCGAUAGAGGUGGGUGGAAUUCCUAGUGUAGAGGUGAAAUUCGUAGAUAUUAGGAAGAACACCGGUGGCGAAGGCGGCCCACUGGAUCGGUACUGACGCUGAGGUGCGAAAGCGUGGGGAGCAAACAGGAUUAGAUACCCCGGUAGC
rnacentral:rRNA from 1 species